ACCAGUGCAGCCAUGGAAGAUGAUGAAAUGGAGGAAGAAUAUCUAGAUCUAAGACCACCUGAGAUUAAUAUGAACCUCACGGAAGUGACCGCUGAGGACCUCGUUGAACAGGAUGUGGCCGUGGAGAGAAACAGAGAGUGAAACGAAGAGGAACAACGUCACACCAGGCGUCAUCGGAGGUACCAGCCUCCAGAUCCACUCAACUAAUUUCAGCAGAGACUCUCCUCCAAGCCGUUGAGAGGGAUGCAGCCCAACCUGAUGCCCACAGGAAGGAGGAUGAAGAGACCCUCUUUGCCAUGAGCCUGGUGCCAACACUGAAGAGGCUGCCUCAGCAAAGAAAAGCAGCAGUCAAGGUUAAAAUGCUUUUCGAAGCCGAGUUCAAUGAAAUGGAGUCCGUUUAGCCGACCAGCUCACAGGAAGGACAGGAAGAGGAGAGGAGUUGUCUGGUUGUUGUUUUUACCUCCCUCGUUGUACCUUUCUUUUCACACACGCCAGUUCUGUUUAAAUUCAGUCAAUUCAUAAAGUCAUUUGUUUAUAAAGACUUAGGAUAGCAUUCAUUAGUGUUACAUACAUUUCUGAAUUGAAACUCAUACAGUUUUCACAGAUGCUCUUGGUCUCUUACGAGACUAAAGGUCCAUAUAUUUAUUUUAUUUAAAACCACGGUGUUGAAACUUUUAGUGAAGUUAUGUUCCAUCGACUGGUCUGUGACGUCCAGGGGCCAUUUGUUUGUUUAGCUGUGUUAUGGCUACAUAUUAUUCCCUUUUUCUCAGAGACUGAGACAUACACACACCUCUUCGUACCUCAGAUCUCCAGUGCCCUGCCCUCUCUCUCUUUAUGGCCAUGUCUGAAGUUCCCCUACUACGUCUAGGCUUUAUGAGUAGUCCCUGUAUCGGUCUGCAGUUGUGCCAAAAAUACAUGCUCUUGUUGUUCUCUUACAGAUUACAGGCUACACAUUUAUUUAAAAAUAAUAAUAAUUUGCACACACCUCUUUCAAUAGUGUUAUUUUUUUAAACAUUUUUACAACACG